AUUUUCUUGCGGUAUAAAUAUCCCUAGAGGGAAAGAUCUCACAGCAUGUAACUCUUUUUUUCUGUUGAGUCAUUUGGCUUGUUUAUGUAUCCUAUGUAGAGGUGUAGUUUUACAAAAUGCCUACUGCAUGCACGAAGAACUCUCCUCUGAACAGAUCCUCUACCUGAGCAUCAGGGAAAGAAAUAAAUGUGUAACUGAUGACAUUUCAAGGGCAAGGAAAACAACUGUUCAGAGGAGAAUUAGCUGAUUUGGUUGGUGUUUAUUUUUACUUCUAUCUAGCAAUCUGCUCUCCAACAGAAGAUGCUUAUUUGCAGCAGAGAAGGCUGUCUCCUGUUUGGACUGGCGCCCGAUCUGGAGAAAAGGUGCGACUAAGGACAAGAGUUACAACAGAAGGCACACAGCCCUAGGAAGCUCCAGGCUUACCUGACAGCUGCGCUUGGAGGACGCCUGCUUAACGGGGCCCUUCCAAAGACCAGGGCUUGUAGCUGGCUUUGUGAAAUCCCACAGACUGGGUUGGUUCCCCUCUCUUGCCCCCGAUCCCUGCCCUUGGGCAGCUGCAGCAUCCCUCAGCUGUGUUGGCACCAGUGCCCACGCAGAAUUGCCAGCCGCAUCACCGAGCUGUUCACCUGAAAGGUAACACAGAGAAAAAAUCACAAGCAGUUGGUUCAGUGACUGAUCUGUCUGUCAGAUGUAGUGAUAAAACCGCUUGUGGGGCUGAACGCUGAACCUUUUUUUUUUUUGCUACGUAACUUUCCAGUGCCUGUACCCAUGUAAUGAGGGGAAGUAAAGGGACUGAAACCAGCACCAAGGUGUAAGGCGGGAGCACUGCUGCUUCUUUGGGCAGAAGUGUACCAGGCAGGGUAAGUUGUUCAUUGAACUAUGUCUUAUGUCAAAGUCUUGUUCUAAUUAUCACUUUCUAGGCGUUACAUACAGGGUCCUGUGGUUUGACAAACCAAUUAUUAAAGUAGCCUUAGAAAUAAAAGGCAAGAAUCCAAAAUAACUGUCUCCUCUCUCUAACCAUUGGGCAAUAUUAUCUAUAAAUAAAAUCUCCCAAAUAUUAUUCUGAACCAUAUAGCAGCUUGGAAGGCCAAAAAUCUGUCUUUCAUUACUCUAGAAACUACUUCACACUUUUGAAGGAACUGGUUUAGCAGUGAUGCAUCCCCUCAUGCUCUGACCAACUUCACACUUCAUUUUUUAUCCAAAUCCAAGUAACAGGCUUUGGGGACCUUGUCUGUAUUCCUUCCUACUCAAGUCUGUUCCCAUCUGCCUGAUCCCCUCAGUGACUUUAUAAUACUUCUUUUGUGUCACCAGAACUACUGCUGCCUCCCAGUCAAACUUCCCACACUGGUCUCUAAAUCUGCACUCCCUGCUUUGGCAUGUUCAGAUUUUGUAUCUGCGAGUGCAUGAAUAAGGGCUUGUUCGAAGGCACAAAAUUUACUACGGCCAUUUCACAUUUUGGGUUCAGACUGAGCUCUGUCUCUGUGGAAAAUCGCCAAAAGGCAUCUGAUCCUGGUCAUUAAGGGAUGGUUAUGCGAGGAACCUGCGGAAAGAGGGCCCUCAGCUUGCCCGCUCUGCAGCUGGGGUUUCUCCCUGGCAGUUGAGCCCGGUGAUGUGAGAGGUUAGUCAAGAGUGGGAGCAGAUUCCUGUGGGGCUUCACCAGCCAAAUUCCUAUCUAGCAAAAGGUUGCUACAGCAACUCUGAGCCUCCCGAGAUACAGAAAUUAUUGUAAUGUCUGCUGAAAUGCCUCCCUUCUGCUCUGAGACAGGAUAAGGAAAAUCCUUCCCUGUGAUACAGCCUGGUUACCCACUGCCACGCUGCCACACCAGCUCUGUACAAGCUCCAGGCUUCCCCAACUUGCUCAGGCCAUGUUUCACCUGAAAGCAAGAUGCAGUUACCCAUUUGCAUGUAAGGCAAACAUAGGAAUAAUAAACCCAAACGCUACACAACUAGCACUACACUUCCAGCACAUUUUUUGCAUGGAGAGGAUAUGAGAAAAAACAAAUCAUAGGAUAGGAGUGAAUAUGCUACUGAGUGAGCUGAACAGAAUAUAGAAACCUGUACCUAGCCAAAAUGUGUAUUUUCCUGACCAGAGUUUCUCCUUUUCAAAAAACACAUAGAUAGGAGAAAACAUAAGGCAAAAAAGGGACAAAACCCCUCAUAGCUUCCCAGUGACUGUCCAGAAGUUUUUUGGCUGCCUCCAGCCUGAGCAUGUUUUCCUCUGGCAUUUGGCCCGCUCACAGGUCAUUCAGUCCACUGGCGUAUGUAAUAAAUACCAGACAGAGAUGAUGCUUUGGACAGAAUGGGAACACUUGUGACCUAAACAGGACCUGGAUCUAGAACGGGGUGGACUAAGGAUAACAGGGACAUAGAACCAGCAAGUAUCAGCAUACUCCUAAGUGCAAAAAACUUUCUCAGAAUGCUCCUGUUUACCUCCCUUUUGCUUUUGAGCUACUCGGUUUGCUCUGGCAGCCAAAGAUGAAAACAGCACAUUAUCUGUUAUCUGACAUAGUACGAAUAUCUGUUAUCUGAAAUAGCACCUGUACUUAGCUGAAAUAACUGAAUGACUUUUAAAAUUCUUUCUUUAAAAGAGAGGCCAUAGCUUUUCUACAGCUGCUCAGUUUAAACCUGACCAUUGCAUUUUGGUCACAACAAAAAAGGAUCAAAUUGCUCUGGGUACAGAUCCAGUAAGAUUGAUACAGUUACCUCCUGGCAGAAUUUGGCCCAACACUCCUGGAACAUCCUUUGGGAUUAUUCAAUUCAAAAUAUCGCACUAAUCCAAUCUCCUAAAGUUGCCAAAUGUUGUAAUGUCUGGUAUCAGCAUGUGGCGUUUUAUAUUUUUUGAUGCAAGCUUGGUCUCUUGUUAAUAGGGUAUUUCUCUGGUUUCUUACUUCCCCAAGGUCUGUGAGCUUCUGGGCUAACCCCGAGAAGCCUGAGAACGAACUUUGCUUCCAGUACAUAAGAAUACCAUGCUCAAGUCAGAGGAAAGUGUUUUUUUGCUUCCUUCAAUUUAGUGUCUCCUGUGAAGCUGAUUCUCACAGAUCAAGAAAAGCAUAGCAUUUUUAAAACAAAACAUUUGUUAACUAAGGAUUUCCUGGAUUUUUCUGCUUUCUUAUUUACGCUGUGAUCUGGACACUGUAAAACCACUGUUUAACUUCCAGUAUUAUUUAUGGAAGCCAGGCUGUUGCUGUUUCCAGCCCUUACAGAGAACUUUCAGUUUGCAGUUUCAGUACCAGGUGCACAACCCUGGCUUAAGUUAAUCAACUGAAAAGUAACACACUGUAAGUACGCAACCCUCUGGCACCCUGUCUGAAGCCCCACAGGUAGAACCUUUUCUGCAGGCUGUAAGCUACCUCAGUAGUCAGGGUCCCAAAUCGAGAAAGCUCCACGUCAGUGAGAUCAGAACUUCUGAUUGUCCAACCUUUUCGGUGCAGCAGGGGUGGGCACAAGUUUGGGAGCGUUCCUGUUGUGGACAGAAAGAAAUUUUAAAUUUUAUCAGCAGACUUCAUGCCUAUGCACAGAAACAGAUUUUAGGAAGUGAACAAUUUUUAUGAGGCUUGCAUGUUACAUCUACUGAUCAAAACUCUUCAGUUCACAACAGAAAGAAACAGGCAAGGAAAAAUGAUUUAGCAAGCUGGAUCCAGCUUCUGUGCAGUCAGCGUGACUACUCUGACUUACAACCAUGGUGAAAAAAACAGUUUGAAGUGUGACCUCCCCAGCACAUGGGCCCUGGGCUUGCAUGCUGCAGCAUUAUGUGCUACCAUUCACAGCUGCAUAAACUAGGUGCAAAGUAGUCUGAAAUGGUUAGAAAAGCAGAAAUCAAGAUUUUUAAUUAUUUUGCAUGAGUAAAAAUGACCAUGUGUACAGUACGAGGCCAUACAGAAUCAGGUCAAUGAAGUUCACGUGACUGCUAUCUGAGCGAGGUUGUUAAUGAUUGCACAAUAGGGAGCUUUAACGAACAGAAAAGGAUGAGAGAGAGCACCAAUAAGUAACUUAUUGAAAACUUGGUUCGGGUGCUCCUUUACCUUCCAGUUCUCCUGUCCGACACCUGCAGCUUUCUGCCACCUGGCAGAAGACAUAGUGUCAUUGCACAAACUUCACCAUCACACCAACACCACAGUUACAGCCACCAAAAGUCCUCUAGGAUGACAGAUAAAGGUUAGAGCCUGCUGAUGACCCAAGUGGAUGUCAGUAGGAUGGAAUACCAUUACUUUCAAAUGCUUUCUUGAAAACCAGGGGAAACACAUCCCCAAAGUCUUUACUUAAAAGAGAAAGUAUGAAGACUACAAAAUCAAAUACUUGCUGAAAUUAGAAAAUGCUGGGUUAGAAAAAGAAGCCCGGAAUCACGUAAUUAAAGAUUACUUUAGGGUACAUGCUUGGAAAGGCAACCUUUCUUCUGGCAUUUUCUAACUUCAGUGUGCAGCAAAUUAUUCAUAUUUUGGCAAAGAUGUUGGAUAUGUAAAAUGUAUAUAUUAUAUAUAGAACCAUAUUUAUCUCUGAUAUAUUUUUGUCUCAUAAAUGCAGUUUCCUGUUUCCAUGUUAGAAAUUACAACAUUAACAUAUUCAGAUGCCAGUUGCUGGAUUUAUUUGCUUCUUGAUAAUCCAAAUGCUGAGCCUGGAUGUGCUCAGCCUCUCCAUACUUCAGUCUUAUCUAGCACUUUUUCUAAGCCACGCAGAUAAAUUAUCUCAGUGUCCUGAGGUAAAGUGAUUCUCUUGUCCAGGGUGUCUGGAUUGCUCCAUUUUUUUUUUUUUUCUGCCACACAAUCAUAAGCUCAAGUGUUAAGACCGAUGAACAGAAGUUUUCUAUAUUUCACUAAUUUAAUUUUUUUAAAAAUGUGCAACGCUGUACCAAGAAUUUCGAAAUAAAAGAAGUGGCUUUAAAAACACUGCUUGAGCAGGAAUGUGGCCAAUUUAUUUCAGUGUGCAACAAUCCACAUAAAUAAAACCAACACAUGAAUCUGAAAAUAAUCUUCAUGUAGAAUUAGAAAAGUGGAAAAAAGAAUAGAGAAGGAGACCCGCUAAUUCAUUGUCUUUCAAAUCACGUAAGAAUGAAACAUUCGUUUGCACUUGAACAGAUUUAGCUUUCCAGAAGGAAGCAAAAAAAGUUUCCCAUGAUUUUUUUCCCUGUAAAUUUUGUAAAAAUCCUUUGAGUUACCAAGUUAAUAUAGAAGCAAAAAGAACAUAUUUAACUUUUAUGGCAUUCAAAUUCUGAAUCACACACCUCACUAAAAGAUUUAUUUUCAUUCACGUCCUCUUCCUGUGAUAUGGUGUUCCGCAAAAGCAGCAAAACACUGCUCUUUGUUUCUCUAUUACUGUUCAGUAUCUCAAAGCACUUUAAGUGGAAGUAAGUUUCGCAACGUAUUGUGCAGACACUUGAGUUUCAUUUAAUUCAGUGCAAACGGAGGCACUGCUAAAUCUGAGAGCAGAGCGCAGUGCCUUCAGUAGCCCAUCUGCACGCCCAUUCCGUAGCCUUCCUCCUUCUUUCCAGCAUACGUACACACUCAGAAAAUAAAAGGCAUGCAAUGCACUUUGCAUCCUCUGGCCUGGUUAGAGAACUAACGUGCCACGGACCCAUACAUACAAGAUGCAGGACACUGAACUUGUUAGGUUCAGGAAAUCCUGAUUGCCUCCCUUCAGAGGUUAAUGAAAGAUAAUUGUGAACAUUUGCUGUUUGUUACUCACAUAUCACUUCCUUAUGACAAUACGUGUUACUUAAUCUGCAAAGGUCAGUGAAUUACUCUUUAGUUCCUUCCAAAUGCCUGUGCAAUGAACUUUGCCAUUUUUAAUACAGACUUCUCAGUAAAGAACUGGUGGUACAGGUUUGAGGCUUAGAACAUCUCUCAACCUGAAAGCACCUUUCAUGCCAGUGUACUUCUAGCACUAACCAUAGACCUUUGUAACUCUCAGACCCAAGUAGAGACUUCCCUGAAGAGCUGAUUCACAAUUUGCACAGAAUCUAGCACACACUGAGCACAUAAGGAGUGUAGUUACUGGGUUUUUUUUGAACCCUCAUGUGAUAUAAAUACGAUUACCCAAUGUAUUGGUCCUCAAACACAAGUGGAAAGAGAUUUAGGAAAACUGAGAUCGCUAUCACCUGAUGUAUGAUAAUAGGUAAUAGCGUGGGUGAACAACUUACUCUGCAUUGUCAGUCAGAUUACUU